GUGGGGAAUCUUGCGCAAUGGGCGAAAGCCUGACGCAGCCAUGCCGCGUGAAUGAUGAAGGUCUUAGGAUUGUAAAAUUCUUUCACCGGGGACGAUAAUGACGGUACCCGGAGAAGAAGCUCCGGCUAACUUCGUGCCAGCAGCCGCGGUAAUACGAAGGGGGCUAGCGUUGCUCGGAAUUACUGGGCGUAAAGGGCGCGUAGGCGGACAGCUUAGUCAGAGGUGAAAGCCCAGGGCUCAACCUUGGAAUUGCCUUUGAUACUGGCUGUCUUGAGUGUGGGAGGGGUGGGUGGAACUCCGAGUGUAGAGGUGAAAUUCGUAGAUAUUCGGAAGAACACCAGUGGCGAAGGCGACUCACUGGCCCAAUACUGACGCUGAGGCGCGAAAGCGUGGGGAGCAAACAGGAUUAGAAACCCGAGUAGUCC
rnacentral:rRNA from 1 species